ACUAAAAGUCCUCCUUAAUUCAAGAAGCUUUUCCUUGAAGUGGUACUACUUUAUGUAAACAGCAAAUUGAAAAGGAUAUACAAUUCCUUUCAAUUUGUCAGCUUAGUGCACAGUGCGAGUACUUUUUUUUAUCAAUUAUUGGAGGAUAUCCAUCUCAGCGGAUCCACAACUUUCGGAGAUGGCCUAAGCAACAUAUCCACGUACGGCCACGGCAGCUCGACGUCCAGCGGCCGUUUGUCUUCAAACUUCGCAACUUCUUUAAGAACCACGGCAACCACUUCACCUGCUCCAAGAUCUACAGCGCCUGCACAGACUCAAAGAACGGUUGCUGCUCCUCCAAUAAAAUAGUCACAUUGACAAGUCUUGGGCGAACGGUGGCUGUUUCCUCCGCAAAACCGGCGGUACCCAAGGUCGGCGCCCCUACAUCAAGCAGCUCCCUUGCGCUUGGCGACUCCAUCGCGGCUAAGCAAGCCUAUCGCGUCCAGCGGCUCUCUGCCAACAACUCAUGAGCGGCUCUCCAUCAGCGACUCAGCGGCUUCAUCAGCGGCAGCGACCGACUCCAGCCACCAGUUCGCCAAUAAUUCGUCCACGCCGAACCAGCAGCUCCAAUCUAUAACGGCAGCAGCUCGCGAACGUCUCUGGCAUCAGUAACUCCGACCCAGCUGGAGGUCCACCGUUCGUUUGUCUCUUCUGUGCCCAGGUCUCAGCGGCAACAACUUUUUAAGGCUUCUCGGAGGCAUCUCGUUUGUGGCAGCAGUAACAACACCUCCGGCAGCCAUUAAUUCCAGCAAUUCCAACUUCAAAGGAACCAUAAACAACAAGAGAAUUUCCCUAUAUUUAACGAGCAAACGAUUUUUCGAACAAACUGUGUUUGAAUUGCUUUUGCAUGUCGCCAUCCAAGAGAAAUAUCAUGACAUGAAUUUAUAAGCCGUUUGUCCAGAGUUUGUGAAAGUGAAAGUGAAGUCUGCUUGCCGAUAAGAAUGAGAUAAGCUGGAGAUGUAGCAUCUCUUUUCAAAUUUUCUUCCAUCUCACUUUUCGCAUACUACUCAGAACCCCUCCACCAACUUUGAUACUAUUCAGCAGUAUUUGUACAUCGAACUAAUUAAGUUGAUAGUUGUAAUACUUUAGUAUCUUUAAAAAUUGUUGGAUGAUGUUCCUUCUAUUUAUCUCAUACAUUUUUCUUA